GAUGAACGCUAGCGGCAGGCUUAACACAUGCAAGUCGAGGGGCAGCACGGGUAGCAAUACCUGGUGGCGACCGGCAAACGGGUGCGGAACACGUACGCAACAUACCUUUUACUGGGGCAUAGCCUUCUGAAAAGAAGAUUAACACCCCAUAAUAUCAAUGACUGGCAUCAGUUGAUGAUUAAAAAUUUAAUUGGUAAGAGAUUGGCGUGCGUCCUAUUAGCUAGNGGUUAUGGGUAAGUGGCCUACCAAGGCGACGAUAGGUAGCUGGUGUGAGAGCACGACCAGCCACACGGGCACUGAGACACGGGCCCGACUCCUACGGGAGGCAGCAGUGAGGAAUAUUGGUCAAUGGACGAGAGU
rnacentral:rRNA from 1 species